GGCUGGGCCCAGUGCAGUAAUGUUUAUAACCAGUUACAGAUUUCUUUGUUUCUUCUCCACUAUCACUGUUUCACUUGACUAGCCUUAA
rfam:Papio anubis isolate 1X1155 chromosome 13, whole genome shotgun sequence.